rnacentral:rRNA from 1 species
GACGAGCCUCACGACCGUUAUUCGGAAUUACUGGGCUUAAAGGGUGCGUAGGCGGUCGUGCAAGUCGGAUGUGAAAUCUCAGGGCUCAACCCUGAAACUGCAUUCGAUACUGCGUGGCUAGAGUGCUGGAGAGGAGACUGGAAUUUACGGUGUAGCAGUGAAAUGCGUAGAGAUCGGGAGGAACAUCUGUGGCGAAGGCGACUGCCUGGACCAGCACUGACACUGAGGCACGAAAGCGUGGGGAGCAAUCAGG